GGAUUAGGCAUCGCAAGUCGAGCGAAAAAGGCAUUUCGGUGCUGAGUAAAGCGGCGAAAGGGUGAGCAAUGCAUGGAUAACCUACCCUGAGAGGGGACAACGCCUGGAAACGGGUGCUAAUACCCCAUGAGACCACGGGCCACAAGGUCUGCGGUUAAAGUUGGCCUCUACAUGUAAGCUUUCGCUCGGGGAGGGGUUCAUGUCCUAUCAGCUAGUUGGUGGGGUAACGGCCUACCAAGGCGAUGACGGGUAGCCGGGCUGAGAGGUUGUUCGGCCACACUGGGACUGAGACACUGCCCAGACUCCUCCGGGAGGCUGCAGUCGAGGAUCUUUCGCAAUGCGCGCAAGCGUGACGGAGCGACGCCGCGUGGACGAUGAAGGCCUUCGGGUUGUAAAGUCCAAUCGCGGGGGAAGAAUCGGUGGAGGGAAACACCCUGUCACCGUGACGUUACCCCGGUCGAAGCGCCUGCUAAUCACGUGCCAGCAGCAGCGGUAAUACGUGAGGCGCAAGCGUUGUUCGGAAUCACUGGGCAUAAAGGGCGCGUAGGCGGUGUCGUAAGUCGGAUGUGAAAGCCCCCGGCUCAACCGGGGAAUUGCAUCCGAAACUGCGGCGCUAGAGUGUGGUAGGGGGGAGCGGAAUUCCUGGUGGAGCGGUGAAAUGCGUAGAUAUCAGGAGGAACGCCGGUGGCGAAGGCGGCUCCCUGGACCAUAACUGACGCUGAGUGCGCGAAAGCUAGGGGAGCAAACAGGAUUAGAUACCCUGGUAGUCCUAGCCCUAAACGAUGGGCACUAAGUAGAGGGGUUUU
rnacentral:rRNA from 1 species